UACGUAGGGUGCAAGCGUUUGUCCGGAAUUAUUGGGCGUAAAGAGCUCGUAGGCGGUUCGUCGCGUCGGCUGUGAAAUCCCGAGGCUCAACCUCGGGUCUGCAGUCGAUACGGGCGGACUGGAGUUCGGCAGGGGAGACUGGAAUUCCUGGUGUAGCGGUGAAAUGCGCAGAUAUCAGGAGGAACACCGAUGGCGAAGGCAGGUCACUGGGCCGCAACUGACGCUGAGGAGCGAAAGCGUGGGGAGCGAACAGG
rnacentral:rRNA from 1 species